GACGAACGCUGGCGGCGUGCCUAAUACAUGCAAGUAGAACGCUGAAGGGAGGAGCUUGCUCUUCUUGGAUGAGUUGCGAACGGGUGAGUAACGCGUAGGUAACCUGCCUUGUAGCGGGGGAUAACUAUUGGAAACGAUAGCUAAUACCGCAUAACAAUGGAUGACCCAUGUCAUUUAUUUGAAAGGGGCAAAUGCUCCACUACAAGAUGGACCUGCGUUGUAUUAGCUAGUAGGUGAGGUAACGGCUCACCUAGGCGACGAUACAUAGCCGACCUGAGAGGGUGAUCGGCCACACUGGGACUGAGACACGGCCCAGACUCCUACGGGAGGCAGCAGUAGGGAAUCUUCGGCAAUGGGGGCAACCCUGACCGAGCAACGCCGCGUGAGUGAAGAAGGUUCUUCGGAUCGUAAAGCUCUGUUGUAAGUCAAGAACGAGUGUGAGAGUGGAAAGUUCACAC
rnacentral:rRNA from 1 species